UUGGCUCGAGCUCACUCCAACCCCUGUGACAUACCACUUGUUGCCUCGGCGGAUCAGCCCGCUCCCGGUAAAACGGGACGGCCCGCCAGAGGACCCCUAAACUCUGUUUCUAUAUGUAACUUCUGAGUAAAACCAUAAAUAAAUCAAAACUUUCAACAACGGAUCUCUUGGUUCUGGCAUCGAUGAAGAACGCAGCAAAAUGCGAUAAGUAAUGUGAAUUGCAGAAUUCAGUGAAUCAUCGAAUCUUUGAACGCACAUUGCGCCCGCCAGUAUUCUGGCGGGCAUGCCUGUUCGAGCGUCAUUUCAACCCUCAAGCACAGCUUGGUGUUGGGACUCGCGUUAAUUCGCGUUCCCCAAAUUGAUUGGCGGUCACGUCGAGCUUCCAUAGCGUAGUAGUAAAACCCUCGUUACUGGUAAUCGUCGCGGCCACGCCGUUAAACCCCAACUUCUGAAUGUUGACCUCGGAUCAGGUAGGAAUACCCGCUGAACUUAAGCAUAUCAAACGGGGGAGAGAAAA
rnacentral:rRNA from 1 species